rnacentral:rRNA from 1 species
UACGUAGGUGGCAAGCGUUGUCCGGAUUUACUGGGUGUAAAGGGCGAGUAGGCGGGACUGCAAGUCAGAUGUGAAAGCUAUCGGCUUAACUGAUAAACUGCAUUUGAAACUGUGGUUCUUGAGUGAUGGAGAGGCAGGCGGAAUUCCUAGUGUAGCGGUGAAAUGCGUAGAUAUUAGGAGGAACACCAGUGGCGAAGGCGGCCUGCUGGACAUUAACUGACGCUGAGGAGCGAAAGCGUGGGGAGCAAAC